rnacentral:rRNA from 1 species
CCUACGGGCGGCAGCAGUGAGGAAUAUUGGUCAAUGGGCGCGAGCCUGAACCAGCCAAGUCGCGUGAGGGAAGACGGCCCUACGGGUUGUAAACCUCUUUUGCCGGGGAGCAACGGGCGCCACGUGUGGCGCCACUGAGAGGACCCGGAGAAAAAGCAGCGGCUAACUCCGUGCCAGCAGCCGCGGUAAUACGGAGGAUGCGAGCGUUAUCCGGAUUUCUUGGGUGUAAAGGGUGCGUAGGCGGAGCGUUAAGUCAGGGGGCAAAUUGAGGGGCUCCACCCCUUCCCGCCAUUGAAACUGGCGCUCUUGCGUGGAAGAGCAGUAUGCGGACUGCGUGGUGUAGCGGU